ensembl:lncRNA
CUUAUAUAUAAAAAGAUAUACAUACAUUUGUGGGUGGACUUGUAGGUCUAAAAUAUCACUAUGUUAUUGAAAAUUCAUCUUAUUUACCUAUCAGUUCGAAUCUUCUGCACUUUUAUUUUGAGGAAUCAUAGGGUGGCUUGGGUUGGAAGGGACUUGAAGGAUCAUCAAGCUCCAAUCCCCCACCACAGGGAGAGCCACCAACCUCCACAUUUAAUAGGAAUCAUUUCUUAGCCAUGUAAUCUGGUGUGGAAGACUUUGGAAUGCUGGCAAGAUGUUGGUGCUGGUCUGGGAAUAGCUGUGCUAUCUUUGUGACAAAGAGGAUACACUUUCUCAGCAGCUACCUUAGGAAGCUUGAGCUAAGAAUGAAAUCUGUAGUAUUGAAAUGACUCUCAGCAUCCCUACCUGUUUCGUGGCUUGUUGGUGGCGACUUCAGAACUUCAGCCCCACUUCCUGUGAAUGCACGAUGACUUUUCUAAACAGCAGCUAGUUUGGGGAAAUGUCUUUUUUAAGGUAAGAUUAAUAGGACUGAGAGAAAAGUGAC